AGUGAACGCUGGCGGUAGGCCUAAUACAUGCAAGUCGAACGCCGGCACAGUAAGAGGUUGCUCUUGAGGGUGGGCAGUGGCGGGAGGAUGGGGUAUAUAACGGAAUUUAUAUUUUCGUGGGGGAUAUGGUAGGGUAACUUAUGCUACUACAGCAUAGGAACUACGGGUGAAAUCAGGAAAUCUUCGAACUUUGCGAGUUCCAAUGAGACGUUUUCGGAUUAGGUAGUUGGCGGGGUAAAGGCCCACCAAGGCGACGAUCCUAAGCCGGUCUGAGAGGUGGAUCAGCCACACUGGAACUGGAACACGGUCCAGACUCCUACGGAAGGCAGCAGUGGGGAAUAUUGGAAAAUGGGCGCAAUCCUGCUCCAGCCAUACCGCGUAGGUGAGGAAGGCCUUCGAUUGGUAAAGCCCGUUUGAUGGGAAAAAAAAGUAGCAGGGUAAUACCCCGCUGUUCUGACGGUACCCAAAGAAUAAGCACCGGCUAACUACGUG
rnacentral:rRNA from 1 species